rnacentral:rRNA from 1 species
GACGUAGGUGGCGAACGUUAUCCGGAAUUAUUGGGCGUAAAGGGUGCGUAGAUGGCCUGAUAAGUUAGCAGUGGGAAAUCGAGGCUCAACCUCGUGGAAGCUGGUAAUACUGUCAGGCUCGAGUGCAGGAGAGGUUAACGGAACUCCAUGUGGAGCGGUAAAAUGUGUAGAUAUAUGGAAGAACACCAGUAACGGCGAAGGCAGUUAACUAUUCUGUUACUGACAUUGAGGCACGAAAGCGUGGGGAGCAAAACGG